rnacentral:rRNA from 1 species
GAUGAACGCUGGCGGCGUGCCUAGUACAUGCAAGUCGAGCGAACGGACGAGAAGCUUGCUUUUCUGAUGUUAGCGGCGGACGGGUGAGUAACACGUGGAUAACCUACCUAUAAGACUGGGAUAACUUCGGGAAACCGGAGCUAAUACCGGAUAAUAUUUUGAACCGCAUGGUUCAAAAGUGAAAGACGGUCUUGCUGUCACUUAUAGAUGGAUCCGCGCUGCAUUAGCUAGUUGGUAAGGUAACGGCUUACCAAGGCAACGAUGCAUAGCCGACCUGAGAGGGUGAUCGGCCACACUGGAACUGAGACACGGUCCAGACUCCUACGGGAGGCAGCAGUAGGGAAUCUUCCGCAAUGGGCGAAAGCCUGACGGAGCAACGCCGCGUGAGUGAUGAAGGUCUGCGGAUCGUAAAACUCUGUUAUUAGGGAAGAACAUAUGUGUAAGUAACUGUGCACAUCUUGACGGUACCUAAGCAGAAAGCCACGGCUAACUACGU